AGCUCAGGUUGGUCACUGCUGCACUUGCACUGCUUCUUGUAAGGCUUGUCCUCCAAUGGUUCGGGUGGUUCCUGCUAUAGUAAUUCCUGUAACAUGCAACUCAAAUCAUGGACAACAAAAAUGUG